rnacentral:rRNA from 1 species
UACGUAGGGGGCGAGCGUUAUUCGGAAUUAUUGGGCGUAAAGGGCGCGUAGGCGGCCUGGCAAGUGGAAGGUGAAAUCCCUCGGCUUAACCGAGGAACUGCCCUCCAAACUGCUUGGCUUGAGUCCGGGAGAGGUGAGUGGAAUUCCCAGUGUAGCGGUGAAAUGCGUAGAUAUUGGGAGGAACACCAGUGGCGAAGGCGGCUCACUGGACCGGAACUGACGCUGAGGCGCGAAAGCGUGGGGAGCAAACGGG